rnacentral:rRNA from 1 species
AGUGAACGCUGGCGGUAGGCCUAACACAUGCAAGUCGAACGGCAGCACAGUAAGAGCUUGCCCUUACGGGUGGCGAGUGGCGGACGGGUGAGGAAUACAUCGGAAUCUACUUUUUCGUGGGGGAUAACGUAGGGAAACUUACGCUAAUACCGCAUACGACCUACGGGUGAAAGCAGGGGAUCUUCGGACCUUGCGCGAUUGAAUGAGCCGAUGUCGGAUUAGCUAGUUGGCGGGGUAAAGGCCCACCAAGGCGACGAUCCGUAGCUGAUCUGAGAGGAUGAUCAGCCACACUGGAACUGAGACACGGUCCAGACUCCUACGGGAGGCAGCAGUAGGGAAUAUUGGACAAUGGGCGCAAGCCUGAUCCAGCCAUGCCGCGUGGGUGAAGAAGGCCUUCGGGUUGUAAAGCCCUUUUGUUGGGGAAGAAAAGCAGCAGGUUAAUACCCCGCUGUUCUGACGGUACCCAAAGAAUAAGCACCGGCUAACUUCGUG